rnacentral:rRNA from 1 species
GACUAGAUAUAGCUCAAAACUAACUUCACAAAACUAUUUAAACAGAACAAAAACAAAACAUUUACAAGACUAAAGUAUAGGCGAUAGAAAUUGUAUUUGGCGCUAUAGAGAUAGUACCGUAAGGGAAAAAAUGAAAGAA